rnacentral:rRNA from 1 species
GACGAACGCUGGCGGCGUGCUUAACACAUGCAAGUCGAACGGAAAGGCCCUGCUUUUGUGGGGUGCUCGAGUGGCGAACGGGUGAGUAACACGUGAGUAACCUGCCCUUGACUUUGGGAUAACUUCAGGAAACUGGGGCUAAUACCGGAUAGGAGCUCCUGCUGCAUGGUGGGGGUUGGAAAGUUUCGGCGGUUGGGGAUGGACUCGCGGCUUAUCAGCUUGUUGGUGGGGUAGUGGCUUACCAAGGCUUUGACGGGUAGCCGGCCUGAGAGGGUGACCGGCGACAAUGGGACUGAGAUACGGCCCAGAAUCCUACGGGAGGCAGCAGUGGGGAAUAUUGCACAAUGGGCGGAAGCCUGAUGCAGCAACGCCGCGUGCGGGAUGACGGCCUUCGGGUUGUAAACCGAUUUCGCCUGUGACGAAGCGUGAGUGACGGUAAUGGGUAAAGAAGCACCGGCUAACUACGUG